CCAUGUGGGAGCUGGACACCCUGAGGCAUCUGUGGCCCUGGAUAAGGCUGUGCCAGAGCAGGUACAUCUCACAGCAUCUGUGGCCAUGGUUAUGUCUGUGCCACAGCAGCUGGACCUCUGAAGGGAUUGUGGCCCAAGGGUAAGUCCAUACUGGAGAAGGCACACCUUGAAACAUCAAGGCUCUACUUGAGGUCAUGCAAGACUACCCCAAAGUGUGUGGCUGUGGAUAAGCCCAGGAGAGAGCAAAUACACCCCUGGAGGGACUGCAUUCAUGGGUAAGGCCAUACUGGAGCAGGUUUAUUUUCCAAGGGACUGGCUGUGGGUGAGGCCAUGGUGGAGCAGGAACAUCUCUGAAGGCGUUGGGGCCCAUGGAAAAUACCAUGCUGAAAUUGGUCUACCUCAAAGCAACUGUGGCUGUGGGAAUUACUGCAGCAGGAAUCACCCAAACCAGUGAAGGACAAGCCUUACAGGAAGCAGUGCAAGCGCAGCAGUGACCUGACGUGACCUGCCUUUGGUGCCCAGUGACUCCACACAGCACACCACAUCUCCUGUCCUGACCAGAGCCAGGGACUAAACGAACUCCUAAAAAAGGAUGUUUUGUGGCUCUUUGUGGAUGCUUGACAGACAUUUCACAGGGCUGAUCCACAGACUAAGGAAAUGAUACCUGUGUGUUAAAUCAAAGGAUGGUGACAGUGGUGGUGGGUAAUGAGGAUGUACUGGAUAGUGUGGGACUUAAGCACGAUGCAAAUGGUAUGGAAUCAGGAAUGGAGAAUAUGCUGGUUUGGGCUGGGAUAGAGCUAAGAUUCAUCAUAGGAGCUAGUGUGGAGCUAUAGUUUGGUUUUGUGUGGAGAACAGUGUUGGUAACACAGGGAUGUGUUUGUUACAGCUGAUCAGGGCUGACACAGAGUCAGGGCCCUUUCUGCCUCUCACCCCACCAGUGACAGGGCUGGAAGGGGACACAGCUGGGACAGCUGACUCCAAAGGGAUAUCCCAGACUAUAUGGCAUCAUACUCAGCAUAUAAAGCCGGGGGAAGAAGAAGGAAUGUUUGGAAUUAUGGGGUUUGUCUUCCCAAGUCACCAUUACAUGUGAUUGAGCCCUGCUAUCAUGGGGAUGGCUGAACACCUGCCUGCCCAUGGGAGGUGAUGAAUGGAUUCCCUGUUGUACUUUGCUAGUGUGCACAGCUUUUGCUUUACCUGUUAGACUGUCUUGAUAUCAACCUGUAAACCUUACUUCUCCAAAUCUCUCCCCCAUCCCUGUCAGGGGGGAGUGAGCAAGUGACUGUUGUGGAAGGAAAGAGAAAUACUCUUCAAUAACAUGCCUGGAAACUGUCCAGAGAGCACCCAGACAAAACCUCCCAGCAGCAGGGGAGUAAAUGCAGUGCCUUAGAGAUGCCUCUCCCUAAUUCUUAGGGAAUAAAUGCCUCGGAGGAAGCUUCCUGUGGUUCAGCUGCAGAAAGAACCCCACAAGGCUAUUUGGGAAUUACCACCCAUGAUUUUUUGUAGCUACAAAUCUCAAUACAAAGAAUUUGAAGUAUUAUUUAUUCCUUGCAGGGACAAAUAGCAGCUUGCUGGCUGGAGGCAUACUUGUUUAUUUAAUAUGUGCCGUUUGCAAAACCUCUCGUUAAGCAUCCUGAGCACGUUAGUAACAGGUCACAUCCUACAGAUGAUGCAUUAUUUGUCACUUUUCUCCUCUCUUUUAGGGUUAUAUUUUUUAACUUCCUGGUGAAUUUUCUGCUGGAAAAAAAAACCUGAAAUAAGUUAGAAAUUCAAGGAAAUCAGCCCAAUUCCAACCUUUGCUGUUCAGUGUUACUUCAGAUGUUUGAAAUUAAAUGGAGAAUGGUUGCUGGAGGGACCUCCUGAGAAGUCUGGAGUGAACUUAGGCAUUUGAAAUGUUUGGGGAGAUUCUGGAAAACUCCUGCCACUGGGCCAGUCCUUUUCCUGUGAUGAGUAAGCAGACUCUUCUGACUGCAUUUAUUUAGUAUGUGCUGAGCUAGGUCAACAAACAGCCUGCUUGAGAAUCCCAGGCAAGGAGCUUCCAGCAGACACUGGCAACUGCCCUCCUCAACUGGGGUCCAAUUUCCAACAGGAGCAAAGCCAAGCUCAACAACAAAGUUAAAAGCCAAACCAUGAAUAAACUGACUUCCUUACAUUGUAAAUACAUCGGAAAAGGGCAGCAGUUCAAAAGGGAAAAUGAGCCAAACUCUGAUUAUUUUCCUUGAAACUGAAUCCCAGGGGGUGAUUGUCCAUUGAGAUGCCCCCAGGAGAGUUGUGCUGCGCCAAGAAGCAAGAGGGUUUGGGUAGGACAUGGCCCAGAGGCCUCCAAACUGUUGCACAACAGGAAUUUGGGUACAGCGUAACAAUCGGCUGAGGAAAGGGAAAACAGUUCUCAAAAACCUUAUUCCUGAGCUAAACCAGGUUCUCAGGCCAUCUUGAAGCUUAAUUUUGAUUCUUCAGCUGCAUUGGGUGGGGGUGGUUUUUCAGUGAUGUGUAUGUGGUAAUACACACUGGAUGUGGCUCAAGCCAUCAUGAGAAAGUAGCUGCAGGUAAAAAAAAAUAAAAAAAAAAGGGUCAUAAUACUCCAAUUUAUAGUCUUGUAGUUUGGGUGCACUGAGAGCUGUUAAAGUUCUCCCUCUUUGGAGCUCCAAAGGCACUGUAAGAUGAUAAGAGAUGGCAACUGCAAGCUCAGGGCAAAUCCACCUUAAUCUUGGAAGUAACAAAAGGGGAGUGAAUAAAACCUUUCAGCCUUAAAACCAAAGUCAAGAAGAACAAACCUCAAUGGCCUUCAGAAUGGAAAGCAGCUGAAGUUGUUCAUCAAGGAGUACUGGAAGCAAUGGAGAUGAGCUUAUUUGUGUAUUAUUUAAAUUAUGGUUAGCUGCUUUCCAGUCCAACAUACACUUAAGAUCUCUAGGAUUUGGAAGCUGGGUAUCUGUGCUGAGGUUUCAGAUCUUUUGGCCAACACCCAAAAAAAAACCCCAAAAACAACCGUGUUAAAAGAAUCUCCCUGCAUUAUGCUCUCUGUGGAGGCUGCUGUAAAUGGCCACUCUUCCUUCCAUUAGUUUUAUUACUGAGAACCUCCCCGUUCUGCCUUUGCUCCUGCUUUAAUUGAAGCUUUGCUAGCAGAUAGCCAUCAGAAAAGACAUCUGCAAUUCAAUUAGAUCUGUGCUUAAACUCCUGAUCUCCGUGCAACCGGCCGCUGCCAGAACAGAGUGCCCUCCAUGGGCCCACCUGGGGCUGCAGCCUGCCGUGCUCUGCACUUCAUCCCCCUCCUGCCCUGCCGGCCCCGCUUACAGGUGCUGGAAAUGAGGAUCCAUUCUUCACGGGAGGCUUGUAGGAGCUCAUUUCCCUUCCUUGCAUAGCCAGAGAGAAGCUGGAAACUUGGCACUGCUGGGGAGCUGUGAAACCUGCUUUAUAAUGUACUGAAAGUGGUUACUUCUCUACUCUGUGGAAGAGAAUCUUUCUGCCAUGGGAGGUAGGGUGUUCAGGAGUUCCAAAGGUGCUCCAGGGGUAACCUAUUGCAUCUUUUGCAUAGACAUGAAAGCAUGAUGAAUUCAUAGGAAUGUCCAUACUAAAAGAAGUUGGGCUUUUUUGCUGACUUAAUUCAGUCUCUGGUGCUGUAAGUGCAUCUUCCCUGGUGCCAGCUGCUCCAGGGCCACCAUUCCUGCUUGCACUGACCCUAUGAGGUGACUGAGGUGAGGACCAAACAUCUGAGCAGGCCAGACCACUGAAACUCUGCAAGGAACAGUUCUUUGGAAAUAUUUCCAUGACCCUAGAGGUAAAUGUUUGUCUCUAAGUGAUGUCAGGCUGGUCCCUGACACAACCUUGUUUAUAAAUGCUCCAGAAGGAUGUUACAAAGUGCUUCAGUGGUCUUGCUUAAAGCAUUUGUAAGAACUGAUUAUAAAGACUUGCAAAAUCACAAGUGAAAGAAGCCAAAAGGACUUCUUUGUAGAAAAGAUAUAGUUGAUGAAAACCCCUGAUCUGAAGAGAAAUGAAAAGUGAAAGUGAGCGCGAAGAGUGGAUUUGGUUUGCAGCUCACUGCAAGCUCCCCUGCCUUCAGGGAGAAGUGGCCCCCAGUUGAUAGAGGGGAAAACCAAAUACUUACCUGGGAUGGGGGGAAAUCAAAUGCAGCUGAGCAAAACAUUUCAAAUGCAUUAUCAGAAUAAUGCAGCUGACUGAAGCAGCUGGGUUGAAGUGCUGUACCUGUCUGUGCCCCUGAGUACAAGGCUCAGCAAAGCCUUGGUGAGAAGCCUGAAGCCAUGGGCUUUCUCCAUCUGCCUUUCACAAUAUUGCUGCUCUUAGUUUAUUUUUAAUAAAUCAAGUGAAAUCUUACAGGGGAAGGAACUACUCUAGCAGGUGUCCCUUUCUGUCUUAAAGAGUUGACAGUGAGGAGUUUUGGGGCUGCUUUUCUACUGGAGCAUCCUCAAAGCCUGCAGUGUUUUAACUUGCUCCUGGACAACCUGGGUUUUGGCAGAACACAUGUAUGUGCCUAGACCCCCCAGGCCCUACAUACUGAGCCUGUUGGAUCAGGAGGUGGAGAGCCUGUAGGACAGGUGAUACAGGAGCUUUCAGCUGGCCACUGCCCCCCACCCCUUCCUCAAGGAGCUCUUCCUGAGGGUUAUGGCCCCAGCCACUGGUGAGAUAUAUGGGGCAAGGAGAGGGCUGCACCUCUGCACCCUAUAGCCCAGAGGAAAACACUUCCACUUUCCAUGGAUUUUCUAAUUCCAUCUCAGCAUGGCUACUCAUAGGCAAUCUGGAGGUAAAAUUAACUUGAGCCACAAUUCUCUUUGCAUUUCACCACACUGCUUCAGUGGCAAGCACCCCUUUAUUUAAAAGAGUUUCCUUUUGGGGAUGUGGAAGUAUAGGUAUCAGUUGUUAGUAAUUUAGAGAGGAAAAAAAUCUUGUAUCAAUGCUAAAAAACUGAUGUAAAUAUAAAACACUCUGUAGAAGGCCACAGCAGUUCUGCACACAGUGGUGUACAUCCCAGGGGGAAGGAAGAAUCCUUCCAGCAAAGCCUGGCAGUUCAUGGCUGUUCCAGCCAUGGAAUCUAGGGAAUUUCAUUUCCAAUCUAGGGAAAGGUUGAAAUGAAAACUCAUACACCCUUUUGAGAUGUUGUAUGUGAAAACUCUCAGACGUUAAUUUUCUUUUCAGAGAAAGUGAAAAGCAAACUUUAUUUUUGGUCUAAAUUUUAACAAAACUCCAUUUCUAUAUUUACUUCAAAGUUUGCCAAUGAAGCUACUUGGCAACAUCAGUACAGAGAAAGGAUAUAUCACCCAUCAUCUAUGUUAGAAGCAAACUCAGGAUAAACCUUCAGUAUUGCUAAUUUCUGAUGACCUUAUCAUAAUGCCAGAUAGAUUUGAUGCUCCCAUUAAAAUGUGAGUUCCUGAAAUAAUGCUGCUCCUGUGAGAUUUGUACAUUCUAUUAAGAAUGAGUCAGCUUCUAGCCUUGGGUUUCUGGGUAAAAGAGCUGAAAAUAUCAACGAGCUGCAAUACACCAAGCUAGAAAUCAGAAAAGAAAUAAGAGAAGAAUAUUCCAAAAUUGUCUUUUUAAGAUUAAAUUACAUAUUUGGCCUGAAAUUUUGGAUAGUUUGACAGCUCUGAAAUCGUGUUGCACCAAACUUGUUCUUGGGCUGUGACAGUGACACAAUCUUUGGUGUCAUGGUGCCCUUAUCCUGCAAUAAAUUAAUUAAGGGUUUGGGGUUAAACAAACACAGGAUCAAUCUUUCUGUUUCAUGAAGUGGGACUGAAUUAUUUUCCUCGAUGUGUGACAGUUUUGUGAUAUUUAAGCAUAUGCUGGAUUUUUAACCUUAAAUACCAUUUAUCUCUUUCCCUCCCAAUGAGCAUUUUGUAUUCAAUGUGUUUUAUCUGGUGACUCAUAUUAUCUGCAAAUAAUCAAGCUGAAAUACUAAUUGCUUUUGAAGAGGGAAUAAAGGAUGACAUUGUUCUGGA